UUUCCUAUGGAAAUCCGACCACUAGCCCAGCCCCUGAAUUUCCACAUUUCCUUUGUGCUUCUUGGUUUCAUGUGUCUCUUUGUCUUUAUCAUGUGUGUA